rnacentral:rRNA from 1 species
UACAGAGGGGGCAAGCGUUGUUCGGAAUUACUGGGCGUAAAGGGCGCGUAGGCGGCCCUCUAAGUCAGACGUGAAAUCCCUCGGCUCAACCGGGGAACUGCGUCUGAGACUGGAAGGCUUGAAUCCGGGAGAGGGAUGCGGAAUUCCAGGUGUAGCGGUGAAAUGCGUAGAUAUCUGGAGGAACACCGGUGGCGAAGGCGGCAUCCUGGACCGGCAUUGACGCUGAGGCGCGAAAGCCAGGGGAGCAAACGGG